UCUGCCCUGCACUCUGGGACAAGCCCUGGAAACGGGGUCUAAUACCGGAUACUGACCCGCUUGGGCAUCCAAGCGGUUCGAAAGCUCCGGCGGUGCAGGAUGAGCCCGCGGCCUAUCAGCUUGUUGGUGAGGUAAUGGCUCACCAAGGCGACGACGGGUAGCCGGCCUGAGAGGGCGACCGGCCACACUGGGACUGAGACACGGCCCAGACUCCUACGGGAGGCAGCAGUGGGGAAUAUUGCACAAUGGGCGAAAGCCUGAUGCAGCGACGCCGCGUGAGGGAUGACGGCCUUCGGGUUGUAAACCUCUUUCAGCAGGGAAGAAGCGAAAGUGACGGUACCUGCAGAAGAAGCGCCGGCUAACUACGUGCCAGCAGCCGCGGUAAUACGUAGGGCGCGAGCGUUGUCCGGAAUUAUUGGGCGUAAAGAGCUCGUAGGCGGCUUGUCACGUCGGUUGUGAAAGCCCGGGGCUUAACCCCGGGUCUGCAGUCGAUACGGGCAGGCUAGAGUUCGGUAGGGGAGAUCGGAAUUCCUGGUGUAGCGGUGAAAUGCGCAGAUAUCAGGAGGAACACCGGUGGCGAAGGCGGAUCUCUGGGCCGAUACUGACGCUGAGGAGCGAAAGCGUGGGGAGCGAACAGGAUUAGAUACCCUGGUAGUCCACGCCGUAAACGGUGGGCACUAGGUGUGGGCGACAUUCCACGUCGUCCGUGC
rnacentral:rRNA from 1 species